GACGAACGCUGGCGGCGUGCCUAAUACAUGCAAGUAGAACGCACAGUUUAUACCGUAGCUUGCUACACAAUAAACUGUGAGAUGCGAACGGGUGAGUAACGCGUAGGUAACCUGCCUGGUAGCGGGGGAUAACUAUUGGAAACGAUAGCUAAUACCGCAUAAUAUUGAUUAUUGCAUGAUAAUUGAUUGAAAGAUGCUAUUGCAUCACUACCAGAUGGACCUGCGUUGUAUUAGCUAGUAGGUGAGGUAACGGCUCACCUAGGCGACGAUACAUAGCCGAACUGAGAGGGUGAUCGGCCACACUGGGACUGAGACACGGCCCAGACUCCUACGGGAGGCAGCAGUAGGGAAUCUUCGGCAAUGGAAGAAAGUCUGACCGAGCAACGCCGCGUGAGUGAAGAAGGUUUUCGGAUCGUAAAGCUCUGUUGUAAGAGAAGAACGGGUGUGGGAGUGGAAAGUUCACACUGUGACGGUAUCUUACCAGAAAGGGACGGCUAACUACGUG
rnacentral:rRNA from 1 species